UUGUCCCGUCUCUUCAUCGGCUUCCUCACCCCCAUAUUCUCCUCCAUCUGAUACACCAGCCACCGCCUUAGGAAAGUACAAAGGACAUAGCCGCCGCCAUGGGUAAGUAGGAGGUGUUAGCAGCCUUGGAAAUCAAGUUUCAAAUUUGGUGAUUCCCCAAAGCUAUGAAGCUAGAGCUGGAACCCUAGAAUCAGGAGCUGGAACUCUAGAAAUCUGGAGGUGGCAAGUCUAGUACCUAUAUGGUUCCUUGAGUUGCUAGAUACAUAGAUAAACAAGGGAGAGAGAGAAAAAGAGGGUUUUGGUAUCUUAGAAGUGGAGGAGUAAAAAGUCAGGUGACAAAUAAAUAAGUUUGAAGUUAUUUUACUGCAAGGGUGUUUUUAAUAAUGUAAUAUACAUGUGUGUUAUUGUUAAUCAUGCUUGGGUCCUAGACAAGAACUUGGAAUAUAGUUGACCUUUUGUUGUAAAUGUUGUUGUAAACCCCUCUUGUAAUAAAGGUUGUGUUUCAAUUUCGAAAACUU